AGAUUAAGUGAUUACUUGCAUUCUCGGUGCUUUGAUAUCUCUCAGAACUGGUUCGACAAUCAUUUAUACUACAACAUUUGUCUUAGGAGCCUUGAAAACUCCUAACAUCACAAGUUCACACUUGAACACGCUUGGUGUGUGUUGAGGUUUGAACAGAAGUGGCUCAGCCUCAACACACCCACGACUGGUGGCGCUUCGAAGAGGAAGAAUGUGGAGGUAAAUUCCCAAACAUCUACCAACGAAGGUUUCGUUGAUGUUGAGAGCAGGCCCGAAAGUGUCAAGGCUGCUAAGGCUUGGUGGUUACAACUUCUCUAACCGGCAUGGUUUGGGUUUUUACCGGAUGUAACAGAUAUGGUUUUGUACUCUUUAAUAUAACGCAUAAGUUUGUUUAUUUGUGCUCAAAUAGAAUGGCUGACAAUAACUAACAUGAUCGAGUUUCUUAUUUGUAAACCAACUCAUAAGUUAGUUUAUUUGUGCUCGUGACCAAAUAGAAUGGCUAACACAUGUUUAUUUCAUUUAUAACCAUAAGUCACAAGUUGAGAUUCUUUGUACCAAUAAGUGAGUUGAUAAUCACAUGUUUAUUUUGCUUUCUACCAAUAAGUCACAAGAUAUACUAAAGAGUUAAUAUCAAUAUUCAUUCACGGGAGGAUUCGUAGAGACUUCUUCUUUAUCAUAUAAGUAUUGAGACUUCUUCUCUCAUCUUCUCUAAAUUUCUAAACACUUUUUUAUCUUUUGUUAAAAUUUUCUAUGGCUUCUUCUUCACAUUAUCAUUACCACAAAGAUAAUGAUGAUGAAUUAGAUGGCAUAUUUGAAGAUUUAUGUGAAGAAUAUAUUGAUUUCAAUCCACAACGAAAAGAGCGAAAAACACGAGUUUUUAUCGAGAGACACCGGGAGGAAGGCCAUCAGAAGCUCUGGAAUGAUUAUUUUAGCGAGACUCCAACAUACCCGCACAAUAUAUUCCGGCGACGGUUUCGAAUUAACAAGGCAUUAUUCUUGCGUAUUGUGCAUCGUCUGUCUACAGAAGUUGAGUAUUUCCAACCCAGAGUAGAUGUAACCGGACGGUCGAGUCUAACUCCGCUGCAAAAAUGUACCGCAGCAAUUCUUCAAUUGGCGUAUGGUGGUGGGUCUGACACAGUUGACGAAUAUGUCCGAAUUGGAGAAAAAAACAGCUCGAAGAAGUUUGCACAAUUUCGCCGCGGGAAUAAUCGACUUGUUUAGCGAUGAAUACCUAAGACGUCCCACACCGGAGGAUCUGCAAAGACUACUAUAUAUUGGAGAACAACGUGGGUUUCCAGGGAUGAUUGGAAGCAUCGACUGUAUGCAUUGGGAGUGGAAGAAUUGCUCCACGGCUUGGAAAGGAAUGUAUUCACGAGGAACCGAUAAACCAACGAUUGUCUUGGAGGCGGUAGCUUCAUAUGACCUCUGGAUUUGGCACGCGUUUUUUGAAGCUCCAGGUACUAUGAACGAUCUUAAUAUUCUCGAUCGAUCACCCGUUUUUGAUGACAUUAUUAACGGAAUAGCGCCACAAGUUAACUUCCAUGUUAAUGGUAAUCCAUACAAUUUGGCAUAUUAUCUCACGGACGGUAUUUAUCCGAAAUGGGCUACUUUUAUUCAAUCUAUCCGACUACCACAAGGUCAGAAGCAUUUAUUAUUUGCUCAAACCCAAGAAGCUGUGCGAAAAGAUGUCGAGCGUGCAUUCGGAGUCCUACAAGCUAGGUUUGCCGUUGUUAGAAAUCCAUCUAAUAUUUGGGAUAAAGAAAAAAUAGGAAAUAUUAUGAGAGCAUGUAUCAUACUCCAUAAUAUGAUUGUCGAAGAUGAACGAUCAUCAGGAACUCAGGACAACGGUCGUGAAUUUGAAGAAAGAGAAGAGGUGGCUACAUUUUCCGUCAAUAUGCCUUCACCUAUCGUGAGUACAAUUGAUCGUCGAACGAGCGUUCGGAAUAGACAAGUUCAUGAGCAUUUAAAAAAUAAUUUGAUUGAAAAUAUUUGGACUAAAUUUGGACAUCUUACCCAUAACAUAUAAUUUAUAAGUUUCUAUUUGUAUUGGAAUAAAUGUUUGUGUGUUUUUUUAUAAUUGUGAUGUUUCGUAUUUCUAUUUUACAACUUUGUAAUUUUCUUAAGAUUUCAAUUUUAAUGUUAAACUUUUUUAAAAUAUAUUUCAUUUACAACUUCUUUUUAUAUGUUAUACAUUAUGAAAAUAAUAAAUUAAUUAAAUAAUAACCUAAGAGACCAGAAAAGUCCCACUAAUAAUCUACCAAAUUGUUUAAUGUCCUUAGUUAGGUUCCUUAAUAUAUAACCUUAAUAAAAAAUGCUAAGGGCUUGUGGAUUAAGUCCCACCAAUACCGAUGCUCUUACACUGGAUAUUUCUGACUAAUGAUGAGGUCAGCAAUCCUAUGGGAUAACAUCUGUCAACCGUUAGAUCAACGUUCGUGAACCUGAACCGUCCGAUCAGCUUUUCAUAACUUAAACAUUAAAUGAAACCAGCUUCUCAGCUACAGGUGCCAUUCAUGCAACAGUACUCUCUCUUCUUUCAAAUUUCCUCACACAGUCCGAAGUCGUGUUUGACGUGACGAUGGAGAAUGGGCUUGAUAUUCAACAAACUCCAACAAUGGUGGAACAUCCGCCGCAGAUACAAGAGAUUCCCUUCUCUCUCCUACCGUACCAUCAGAUGAUCAUGGAAGCGAUUGAAGCGUCUAACGACGCGAAGGGAUGUACCAAAACGGCGAUUUUAAAGCACAUCGAGACAACACAGACACAUUUACCACCGUCUCACCUGACGCUGCUCGACUACCAUCUCAACCAGAUGAAACAUUCGGGGAAGAUCGUGAUUGUGAAAAACUAUUACAUGAAACCAGAUCAAAAGCCGAAACCUCAGGGAGAUUCAAGCCACGUGGCGGUCACGUCUCCCUCUGUUUCUUAUUCGCUGAGGCUUAGAGGUCGUCCUCCUAGGACGAAAUCGAAUGAUUCUUUUUCAGGGGCGGACUUGACGGAGGAAAAAAAAGAGGUACUAACACCGAGUGUUUCCGGGAGACCACGAGGACGAACACCGAAGAAGGAGAAGAUGGUAGCGAAAACUAACGGUGUGCGUCGAGAGCCUGGAAGGCCACGGAAAGUGAAAUUCAAAUUACUCUCCAGCUUGCUUACCGAAUAAGCUUAGAUUACAAACUUUUUGUGUUGUUUUAGUUUUAGGGGGUUGAUUAGAGAAAAAUGACGUUUAGACUUUGCAUGUGGUACAUGUAUAAAGUUUGGGUCUUUAAUCUUUAUCCUCUUCUUGCUGAAAAAAAAAAAAGCAAUUUGAUUUUAUAAAAAGGAAUGAAUGAUGGAGAAAUUAUUAACAAACGUCAUUUCAAACACGAGGGGGAAGCGAGUGGUAGAGUUUUUCAGAUGAUAAUAGUAAACAACGUCUUGAUCCCCAGUUUGACUUGAUGACUUUCUUUGUCACGUGGCUUGAAUCUCUAUAUAAGCUUCGAAUGGUGACCGUCGUCUCAUUCCGUCCCGUCCUGCAGUUAACACUAACAAAAAUCUCUCCAUAUACUAUAUAUUUAUACAUUUUUAUAAUUUUUAAAACUGCACCACAAUUGAACCGCUUGUCACGCACCGCUCAAACCACAGUUACCAUUCGGAGCUUAUAGUAAAAAUCCAAGAUUAGCCCAAACCCAGUAUACUGGUUUUGUUAACCACUUCAAGUGCCACAGUGGCUUGCUACGCGCCUUCCAUUCUGUGUACGGACUACGGACAAACACGUGUUGUCCUCGUGAGAUGAGGAACUUUUGCCACAACACCGUUGGUAAAUCUUCGAUUUGCUCAAAUUCUGUCGCCGGACUUGAUGAUUUCCACCCGCAAAUUUUUCUUAUAUCAUUAUUCAGCAUGUAAGCACUCCGUUGAAUGUUUGAUGGAUCGUCGUUAAAAGAAAAUUGAGAAACUUAAGUUCCAUCAACUUGAAGCUAUUCUCUGGUGAGAAGCUCCACCAUAACCUGACAUGUUUUGUUUGAUCUUGUCUGUUAUUUGAAUGCAAAUUGUUGCUAUUUGUGAGUAAUAUAGAAUCCCACAUGUUCGGUUUGAUUUAUCUGUUAUUUUCUGUAGAAAUAGUGUAUGGUAAGCAGCUUGCUACAAACCGAUAUGACGUGUCUCGAGGUUUCUUUUUUCCUACUCUAUUGGAAACGUGUCCACUUUCAAGAUUCAAAAUAUGGGGUAGUACCGUAAAUUCACAAAAGUUAUCAGUUAUCGGCUCCAGCCAAGUCAGCAAUCCUGUGUGAUAAAACAUUCCUAAACCGUUAG